rnacentral:sRNA from 12 species
GAAGCCCUGCUCUAUUCGAAGUCUUAAGUUCCACUUGAGAGGUUUAUGUAGAAUAGAACGGGGCUAC